CUGAAGUUAUAUUUUUUUGCAUCCGUCCACCUCUGUUUUCAUGCUGUGAAGAGAACUAGCGGAAUAUUAGUCAAAUGACUUUUUUAUCCCUAAAUAUAAAAUUACAGUUUUACCCUAGAUAAUGACUUUUUUGCCUCCAAAUAUAAAAUGACAGUUUUACACAUUGAAGCUUACAACCAUACCAUAUUCAAACACAGAAUCUACACAUCCAAACAUCCAACAGCCCCAUUCAUUCAUUCAAUCAAACGCAGCAUCUGGUCAAUCUCCAGAGACAGUCUCUCCUCGCAAAGCUUUUCCCACUUUCUGUUGCCAUAUCAUGAAAGUGAGAAAAACUUCAUCAAAAAAGACGCACAAUAGCAGAUAAGCAAUUCUUUUAUUGUUACACAAAUUUUAACACCAUUAUAUCAACUCAAUUACAUAGGCUAAGAUUGCAUCAAAGAACACUAAUGCAGAUUAAAAAUAACACAUGUCAAAUGCGAUCACAUCCACUUUUCAAAAAUAAAAUAUUUGUAUUGAAUAUAGAAUGAUGUUAAUAUACCGCACUGAGAGUGAUGAAACCAAUAGUCAAUGAUAAAUCGUGCACAAACAAUGUAGUGUAUGUUUUGAAUCAUAGCAUCAAUAAAACAAAACCCAAAAACUAGCAAUUUUACCCAAAAGAAAAUUAAGUAAAAAACAAAUAAAAAAAUUCAUAAAUAACACAAAAACCCAAACCAUUAUUCAUUCAAUUAAGGUAACAAAAUAUUAAUUACAAAAGAACCCAACUUUCUAUUUUUAAGCCGAUUUCAUUACUAUCUAAAAAUCGAAUCUCAGCUAAAAGGAAAGUUAAAAAAAAAAAAAAAAUUUGAAACCUGUUAUUUAGGCCGAAAACGAAGAGCAUUGCGGUACGAUGCGUUUUGUCUUAGUAGAGAUAAAGCCAGCGAGAGAGAGCUUUUAUACUUUGCUUUGAGAUUUUUGUGAUGUUAUUCUUUGGUUUCUGUCUGCGGCUUCCAAUCCCGAAGAAGAAGAAUUGAUGACCAAGUUAAACAACGUCGUUUUUUGUUGUACAGGAUGAAAUGACAAUUUUAGCCUUUUGACAUCAGUAAAGUUAUAACAGCGUAUAAACAGAAGUGGAUGGGUGUAAGAAAAUGUAAUUUUAGGUGAAAUUCAACCAAGAAGAAUUGAUUUC
rnacentral:lncRNA from 1 species